rnacentral:rRNA from 1 species
UACGAGGGGGGCAAAUGUUGUUCGGAAUUACUGGGCGUAAAGCGCACGUAGGCGGUUAUUCAAGUCAGAGGUGAAAGCCCGGGGCUCAACCCCGGAACUGCCUUUGAAACUAGAUGACUGGAAUCUUGGAGAGGUCAGUGGAAUUCCGAGUGUAGAGGUGAAAUUCGUAGAUAUUCGGAAGAACACCAGUGGCGAAGGCGGCCCACUGGUCCGGUACUGACGCUGAGGUGCGAAAGCGUGGGGAGCAAACAGG